rnacentral:rRNA from 2 species
AAGCUUUGAUCCGGAGAUUUCCGAAUGGGGAAACCCCCUGUCUUUAAUCGGACAGGAUUCCUGCCUGAAUCCAUAGGGCAGGAAGGGCACACCCGGGGAACUGAAACAUCUCAGUACCCGGAGGAAGAGAAAGCAAUUGCGAUUUCCCAAGUAGCGGCGAGCGAACAGGAAACAGCCCAAACCGGAAGGCUUGCCUUCCGGGGUUGUAGGACACUCAUAUGGGAGUUACAAAAGAACAGGUUAAGUGAAGCGGCCUGGAAAGGCCUGCCGGAGAAGGUAAAAGCCCUGUAACUGACACUUCGUUCUCUCCCGAGUGGAUCCUGAGUACGGCGGGACACGAGGAAUCCCGCCGGAAUCCGGGAGGACCAUCUCCCAAGGCUAAAUACUCCCUAGUGACCGAUAGUGAACCAGUACCGUGAGGGAAAGGUGAAAAGCACCCCGGGAGGGGAGUGAAAGAGAUCCUGAAACCGUGUGCCUACAAGUAGUCAGAGCCCGUUAACGGGUGAUGGCGUGCCUUUUGUAGAAUGAACCGGCGAGUUACGGUCUCAUGCAAGGUUAAGCUGAAGAAGCGGAGCCGCAGCGAAAGCGAGUCUGAACAGGGCGAAAGAGUAUGAGGCCGCAGACCCGAAACCAGGUGAUCUACCCAUGUCCAGGGUGAAGGCAAGGUAACACUUGCUGGAGGCCCGAACCCACGCACGUUGAAAAGUGCGGGGAUGAGGUGUGGGUAGCGGAGAAAUUCCAAUCGAACUUGGAGAUAGCUGGUUCUCUCCGAAAUAGCUUUAGGGCUAGCCUCAAGCGAAGAGUUUUGGAGGUAGAGCACUGUUUGGACGAGGGGCCCUCAUCGGGUUACCGAAUUCAGACAAACUCCGAAUGCCAAAAACUUAUGCUUGGGAGUCAGACUGUGAGUGAUAAGAUCCAUGGUCGAAAGGGAAACAGCCCAGACCGCCAGCUAAGGUCCCAAAGUAUACGUUAAGUGGAAAAGGAUGUGGCGUUGCUUAGACAACCAGGAUGUUGGCUUAGAAGCAGCCAUCAUUCAAAGAGUGCGUAAUAGCUCACUGGUCGAGUGACGCUGCGCCGAAAAUGUAC